rnacentral:rRNA from 1 species
UACCAGCACCCCGAGUGGUCGGGACGAUUAUUGGGCCUAAAGCAUCCGUAGCCGGUUCUACAAGUCUUCCGUUAAAUCCACCUGCUUAACAGAUGGGCUGCGGAGGAUACUAUAGAGCUAGGAGGCGGGAGAGGCAAGCGGUACUUAGUGGGUAGGGGUAAAAUCCGUUGAUCCAUUGAAGACCACCAGUGGCGAAGGCGGCUUGCCAGAACGCACUCGACGGUGAGGGAUGAAAGCUGGGGGAGCAAACCGGAUUAGAUACCCCCGUAGUCC